rnacentral:rRNA from 1 species
AAACCGGAGCUAAUACCGGAUAAGAUUUUGAACCGCAUGGUUCAAUAGUGAAAGACGGCCUUGCCGUCACUUAUAGAUGGACCCGCGCCGUAUUAGCUAGUUGGUAAGGUAACGGCUUACCAAGGCAACGAUACGUAGCCGACCUGAGAGGGUGAUCGGCCACACUGGAACUGAGACACGGUCCAG